UACGUAGGUGGCGAGCGUUGUCCGGAUUUACUGGGCGUAAAGAGCGCGCAGGCGGCUGGUCAAGUCCGAUGUGAAAGCUCCCGGCUUAACUGGGAAAUUGCAUCGGAAACUGAUCGGCUGGAAGGUGGGAGAGGGUAGCGGAAUUCCCGGUGUAGUGGUGAAAUGCGUAGAUAUCUGGAGGAACACCGGUGGCGAAGGCGGCAUCCUGGACCGGUAUUGACGCUGAGGCGCGAAAGCGUGGGGAGCGAACAGG
rnacentral:rRNA from 1 species